UCAAAAAACUUCCCUGCUAUAAACCAUUCACAGUCCUCAGAUCUCUCAUCCCAAAAGUCCAAAUUGGCGAGGCCUCAAUUCCAGUCUCAUUAUGAACAUGAAGAUGUUUAACUGGGUGCAGAAGAAGUUUUAACUGGUGCUCCGACUACCAUCGAGUUUCAAAUGG